rnacentral:rRNA from 1 species
UUUUACAGUAAAUUAUUUAUUGGAGUAGUAGUAGAGCUCUUGAAACUUAAAGAAUUUGGCGGUAUAUUAAUCUAUUUAGAGGAACCUGUCCUUUAAUCGAUAGUCCCCGCAUAUUUAACCUGAAUUUGUAUUUCAGCUUGUAUAUCGCUGUCGUAAGAUUAUUUUUUGAGAAAUUUUUCAGAAAUAAGUUUUUAUUUAUGUCAAGUCAAGGUGCAGUAGAUAUUCAGGGUUGAGAUGGGUUACAAUUUAGGGAUGAUACGGAUGUUUUCUUGUAAAUGAUUAUUGAAGGUGGAUUUAAUUGUAAUAUAGGGUUAGCUAUUUUAUAUGAAAAAGUGCUAAUGUAUGU